UGCAGCCUUGUCAAAUUCAGUGUGUUCUUUUCAGUGGACUUCACUGGCCAAAAUGGCUGCGACAGAGACUUGUAGUUCAUGGGCCUCACCUUCUUACAUCAUGGGAAGUGGGGAUAAAUAUGUACUGCAGACAAAA
ensembl:snoRNA